UAAAAGAAUGGGAAAAUAUCGAACGGGAAAAAAUCAUAAAAAAAGAACUCCAAUUCCGUUACUUUCUCUUCUUUGUUCCUACUUCUUCUUCACGAUUUCAACUUCAAGCUCAAGUCAAAAUGUCUGCAUCUAGAAGUUGUUUGAAGAUUGCCGGUAGAGGGAUUAAAUACAAUGCUGGCACAUCAAGCAAUUUGCCUUCGACCCCUGAUGUUGCAAAUGAUGAUGAUUUCGAGUCCCCUGUUGUUCUUACAAAGAGUUGUCAACAAGAAAUCAUGCGAAUCACGCGCUAGCAGACGAAGAAGGUUGUUAAGAAUAUCAAGCCGAGGACUAAGAAAUGUGGUCGACCUGAGAAAGCUAAAGUGAGGUUGAAACUUGUUGAUGAAGAUGAUGCUGCUAAAAAAAUUAAAAAAAAAAAAGAGAGAGAAAGGUCGUCAAUGUUGCUGAAUAUAGUUCUUAUGCAUUAUCGAAAGAAUAAAGGGAAUCUAUUCGAUGUAAAUUUAAUGAAAGAAAAUCUCAGUUGAAGGUUGGUGACUUCUAUAUACAACCGAAUGAACAUUUUUGGACUAGGAUUAGUUGUCAUACCAAGACUGAUAUUGUCGGCUUUUUAAGGGAAUACUUGAGUGAUACGCAGCUUCAAAUCUUCCGUGAUAGUUGUUUUGGAUAUUUCUUAGACCUGCCUCCUUUUAAGAUUCAGAACCAGCUUAUACAUUGCAUGUUACUGAGGGAGGUUGUCCCCGGUGUGUUAAGAGAGUUGUGGAUUAAACUCAAUGGUUGUAUAUUGAGUUUUCGUAUUAGAGAGUUUGUUGUUAUUACUGGUUUGAAGUGUGUUGAAGAUGAUGCAACUAUGUAUGACAAACCAAGCACCAGUAGGUUGAUGGAAACAUAUUUUCUAGAAAACACAUCAAUAACGAGGGAGCAGUUGCUUACUCACUUUAAGGUAAAGGAAUGGAAGUCGGAUGAUGAUGCGUUCAAGAUGGGUUUGAUGGUAUUCAUCCACCAUUUCUUAUUCUCGGAUACCAAUGAUCACACUAUCACCAAAGCAGAUUUUGAUAUUGUUGAAAGUGGUGAAUAUCAGACUUAUGCUUGGGGGAAAAAAUGCUUUGAAGAGAUUCUCAAAACAACAAGGGAUAAACAGUGUGAGUUUUUGACAAUGUACAGGCUUGGAGGGUUCCCGCUUGCACUACAGACAUGGUUUUUCGAAUGUUGCUCUAUCAUCGAUAAAAAACUCGUUGUUCGUGUUGGCAAUAAUGUGCCACAUAUUCUUAACUGGAAAGUGACUGAUUCUCCGACGUAUACGUUCUUGACUGAUGAUGUGCUCAUGCCUAGUAUCGACAAAAUGAAGUACUGCAACAUUUCUCCUACCACUGAGGAAAAAAUAAACUUGAAAAUUGCUGCAUUUUUUGAAGAUAUCAAUGCCGACCAUGUUUCUUCACGGGGUUUGCCCAUUUUUCAAAAUGAAGAUUCUAACAUUUCACCCCCACCACAUCCUCAAAAUAUGGAGCAAUAGCCUAAACAACCUCAUCCUCAGAAUACGGAGCAACAACCCGUAUUGAGACGCGAUCCUUCCGGGAGCAGUGAUGGGUUGACGGCUAAAGUUGCUCAGUUGAGGAGUGACGUUUCAGAGCUUACUGGUAAAGUCGAGGCACUCAACACUUACAUCGUAUCUUCCUUUGGAAUCAUAUUCAAGCAUCUGAAAAUUAAGCAACCGAGUGAUCAAGGCAAUGCUGAUGAGGAUGGUACAUCUGGGCUAGGCAAUGAUGGGUUUGACAAUAAUGAUUAUGUUCCACCUUCGUCCCCCCUCUCCCCUCCCGAACAAGUGCAUGAUCUAAAUAUGCAAGGUGACCAAACAACGUCAACCGUUAAGGGAAAUGAAGAGGGUACUGAUGUUCCCUCUCUCGAGCAAGUGUAUGACCUAAACUUGCGAUCUGACCAAAAUGCAUCAUGUGUUAAGGGAAAUCAACAAAUUACUGAUGGUCUUCCUGAUAUGUUUUCGUCUUGUACUUGGUCUUUUUUUUUUUUUUUGCCUUCGGAUUGAAACCUUUUGAUUAAUCUUUUUCUCUGUCUAAGUAGUAGCAAGUGAUGGUGUUGAGCCCCUCGAGCAAGUGCAUGAAGUAAACAUGCAACCUGACCAAACAAAAUCAAGUGUCAAGGAAAAUGAUAAAGUUACUGAUGGUCGUCUUGUGGAAGCAGUUGAUGGUGUCAAGGACGAUCUCUGGUGUGGUAUUACUGAUGAAGAGUUUGCCAAUAUAAAGAUGUCCCAGGUUGUGCUUCCUAGACCUUGGGAUAUUAGUGAUGAAAAGGCUGCUAAGAUAAAGAUGUCCUAGAUUGGGCUUCCUAGACCACUCGUCAUGGAUGUUGAAGAAAAAGACAUGACUCCUGAAAAAUUGGCACGAAAAAGAUUUCCAGGAAAAUUAGCCCAAGAUCCAUAUGUGGAAGAUUUUGAUUCGGGUACAUCUAAGUGUAUUUUUGAUAUCAAGCAUCCUUUCAUAAGAGACAUUGAUGAAUUUUAUCCCUUGUCGGAUUAGGCCCAAGAGUUUGUGGGAUUCGUUGAGGAUGGGAUGAAUAUGACAUGACGGUAACUUUUACUCAUUUUAAGCUUUUUAUGUUCUGGUUUUUACACUUUUGCAAAUUUCUUGGGGGUGUUCUUUUAUUCAUGAUUUUUAAGUCCCAAAACUCUGUAUCGUGACGGAAAAAUGAUCUCCCUGAAGAUUUUAUUUUCGGCUCGUGUCAUAUAAACACGAAGGACUGGUUCGAGGCGCUUACACAUAGUGGUCGACCUUUGAAAGACACGUGAUUGUGGAGUUUUUGUUGUUGUCUUUGCUGAUUAUUUCGUGCAUGGUAAAGAAAUCACAAAAGACAAUAUUGACAUUGAGAUACAUCGCACUAGGUAUGGAUCCUUGUUGUGGGAUUAUGGAAGAAAAAACAAAAGGCCGAUGCAACUAGCGGGACUAAAGAAGUUACUGGCAGAUGGUUCGGGAGGAGGAAGAGGAAAAAUGAGGAAAAGUAGGGGGCUGCAUAUCAAUGCUUUUUUAAUUUUACUUAGAUGUUUUGAAGCGGUAAUGUAAAGUACAAACAAUGUGGCUUUUAGAAGGGAGUUUGACUAAGCUGUUUUGAUGCAAUACUGUAAAGUACAAUGAUGUUGCUAAUAAAUGAAAUGCACUUUUAUUGUGUA